GUGCCAGCCGCCGCGGUAAUACGUAGGGGGCUAGCGUUGUCCGGAUUUAUUGGGCGUAAAGAGCGUGUAGGCGGCCAGGUAGGUCUGCUGUGAAAACUCGAGGCUCAACCUCGAGACGUCGGCGGAAACCAUCUGGCUAGAGUCCGGAAGAGGAGAGUGGAAUUCCUGGUGUAGCGGUGAAAUGCGCAGAUAUCAGGAAGAACACCCGUGGCGAAGGCGGCUCUCUGGGACGGUACUGACGCUGAGACGCGAAAGCGUGGGGAGCGAACAGGAUUAGAUACCCCAGUAGUCC
rnacentral:rRNA from 1 species